UUAAUUUAUUCCUAAGCUGAAAUGGUUGUGAUUUUCAGCAUUCAAAGGGAAUCCUUGUUAGUUGUGAAGCUUCCCUGCACUCUUAUUUUCUUUCGAUCUUUCCAUUUCCCCCAUAUUUAAAGUAAACUCCCCCAUAUUCAUUGUCUUCCGGGAAAUGAUUGAUAGAGGCUUAUUGAAUGGUUUAUAGAAGGUGCACUGAAGCAUGUUAAGUUGCAGCAUGGGGCAGACAAAAAUUGAACUUCUCCAGCACAACUCUUUGCAACUGAAUGCUACAAGAGGUAGCGUUUCAGGGGCCAAAUCCAAAUUGUUGAGGGGGAUUCUUAUUUGUACAAAUGAUACUUCGAAUUGGAACGAGCACGAAGGAAUUAACGAUACUUCAUCUUUUGAGUUGUUCUACUAGAUCGGUCGCACAAGACCUUUGGUCUCUGCCCGGACUUGCUGAAAAAAAUGGAAUCACUUCUUAUGAACUUGUUGAGAAUGAUUCUGAUCUAGUUCAUGGCCUAUUAGAAGUAGAAGGCGCUCUGGUCGGAUUCUCAUAGACAAACAAAAGGUCGCAGUCAGUUUGAUAAUGAUCGAGUGACAUUGUUUCUUCGGUCCGAACAAAGGAAUUCCUUAAAUAUGAUUUAAAAUAGAUCUUGUUUUAUCGUUGAUUAGAGAUUUCUCUAUGAAAAAUAUGAAUCAAAGUUUGAAGAAGGGGAAGGAGUUCUCGACCCACAACAGAUGGAGGAGGAUUUAUUCAAUCACAUAGUUUGGGCUCCUAGAAUAUGGCGCUUUCUUCUUUUCAUGCUCUGCCACUUCAUUGUCUAAGGAGGCUUUCGCAAUUUUGGUGACGAAAAUAAAUAGAAUGCCUAAGAAGAAUAAUUGUUAUUAUUAGAUCUCCA